GAUGAACGCUGGCGGCGUGCCUAAUACAUGCAAGUCGAGCGAACAGACGAGGAGCUUGCUCCUCUGACGUUAGUGGCGGACGGGUGAGUAACACGUGGAUAACCUACCUAUAAGACUGGGAUAACUUCGGGAAACCGGAGCUAAUACCGGAUAAUAUAUUGAACCGCAUGGUUCAAUAGUGAAAGACGGUUUUGCUGUCACUUAUAGAUGGAUCCGCGCCGCAUUAGCUAGUUGGUAAGGUAACGGCUUACCAAGGCAACGACGCGUAGCCGACCUGAGAGGGUGAUCGGCCACACUGGAACUGAGACACGGUCCAGACUCCUACGGGAGGCAGCAGUAGGGAAUCUUCCGCAAUGGGCGAAAGCCUGACGGAGCAACGCCGCGUGAGUGAUGAAGGUCUUCGGAUCGUAAAACUCUGUUAUUAGGGAAGAACAAAUGUGUAAGUAACUAUGCACGUCUUGACGGUACCUAAUCAGAAAGCCACGGCUAACUACGUG
rnacentral:rRNA from 1 species